AGAGUUUGAUCCUGGCUCAGGACUAACGCUGGCGGCGUGCCUAACACAUGCAAGUCGAACGAAGCAGCAAUGCUUAGUGGCAGACGGGUGAGUAACGCGUGGACAAUGUGCCCUCUUGCGGGGGAUACCGUUUCGAAAGGAACGUUAAUACCGCAUAAUGCCAUCCUGGGGCAUCCUGGGUUGGCCAAACUUCCGGGGCGGGAGGAGCAGUCCGCGUUCUAUCAGGUAGUUGGUGAGGUAAUGGCUCACCAAGCCUACGACGGAUAACUGGUCUGAGAGGAUGAUCAGUCACACUGGAACUGAGACACGGUCCAGACUCCUACGGGAGGCAGCAGUGAGGAAUAUUGCGCAAUGGGCGAAAGCCUGACGCAGCGACGCCGCGUGGAGGAUGAAGGCCUUCGGGUCGUAAACUCCUGUCAGUGGGGAAGAGAAUGGACGGUACCCACUGAGGAAGCUUCGGCUAACUACGUGCCAGCAGCCGCGGUAAGACGUAGGGAGCAAGCGUUGUCCGGAAUUAUUGGGCGUAAAGAGCACGUAGGCGGCUGUGUAAGUCGGUUGUGAAAGCCUUCCGCUCAACGGAAGAACGGCAUCCGAUACUGCAUAGCUUGAGUGUGGGAGGGGAGAGUGGAACUUCUGGUGGAGCGGUGAAAUGCGUAGAUAUCAGAAGGAACACCGGCGGCGAAGGCGACUCUCUGGUCCAUAACUGACGCUGAGUGUGCGAAAGCUAGGGGAGCAAACGGGAUUAGAUACCCCGGUAGUCCUAGCCGUAAACGAUGGGCACUAAGUAGAGGGGUUUUGAUUAUCUCUCUGCCGGAGCUAACGCAUUAAGUGCCCCGCCUGGGGGGUACGGCCGCAAGGCUAAAACUCAAAAGAAUUGACGGGGGCUCGCACAAGCGGUGGAGCAUGUGGCUUAAUUCGAUGCAACGCGAAGAACCUUACCGGGGUUUGACAUGGUAGAAGUAGAAGCCUGAAAAGGUGACGAACGGUAUCCAGUCCGUAACUAUCACAGGUGUUGCAUGGCUGUCGUCAGCUCGUGUCGUGAGACGUUGGGUUAAGUCCCCUAACGAGCGAAACCCUUGUCUUUAGUUGCCAACAGGUAAUGCUGGGCACUCUAAAGAAACUGCCGUCGUCAAGACGGAGGAAGGUGGGGAUGACGUCAAGUCAUCAUGGCCCUUAUAUCCCGGGCUGCACACGUGCUACAAUGGUCGGUACAAAGGGAUGCUAAGCCGCAAGGUGGAGCGAAACCCAGAAAGCCGAUCCCAGUUCAGAUUGGAGGCUGAAACCCGCCUCCAUGAAGUAGGAAUCGCUAGUAAUCGCGGAUCAGCUACGCCGCGGUGAAUAUGUUCCCGAGCCUUGUACACACCGCCCGUCAAGCCACCCAAGCAAGAUGCACCCAAAAUCACCGGCCUAACCUGAAAAGGAAGGAAGUGCCUAAGGUGUGUUUUGUGAGGAGGACUAAGUCGUAACAAGGUAACC
rnacentral:rRNA from 1 species